AUAUUGGUCAAUGGACGCAAGUCUGAACCAGCCAUGCCGCGUGCAGGAUGACGGCCUUCUGGGUUGUAAACUGCUUUUAUUUGGGAAGAAAAGUACGGUUUCUACUGUAUCCGACGGUACCAGAUGAAUAAGCACCGGCUAACUCCGUGCCAGCAGCCGCGGUAAUACGGAGGGUGCAAGCGUUAUCCGGAUUUACUGGGUUUAAAGGGUGUGUAGGCGGACAUGUAAGUCAGUGGUGAAAUCUCCGGGCUCAACCCGGAAACUGCCUUUGAUACGAUAUGUCUUGAAUAUCGUUGAGGUAGGCGGAAUAUGUCAUGUAGCGGUGAAAUGCAUAGAUAUGACAUAGAACACCGAUUGCGAAGGCAGCUUACUAAACGAUCAUUGACGCUGAGGCACGAAAGCGUGGGUAGCGAACAGG
rnacentral:rRNA from 1 species